CUCCGUUAGACCCUUUCGUCUCGCUCUUCACCCUCCUGGUUACCGCAUAAUACGUUUACCGCUACGUGAAAUUGUUUGCUGAAACAUCGUCGUCCCCUUCUAUUUUUACGUUAUCGUAAACGUACGUAUCGGGACACGUCAUAACAAAUUGAAAAAUUGAUAUCCAUGUGUCCCUUUUAUUUUCUCUGUGUUGUCUUUCGGCACAUUGUUCGCCUGACGCGAUAAAUUAAAUUACGUUUUAUUUUACAUGGGCAGUUGUAUUUUCUUAAGGAUAGAGUUUGUAACUUGCAACAGGUUGAAGAAGAGUUAAAUUUUAAUAUUUGUUGUUCCGAAACAUUGUU
rnacentral:misc_RNA from 1 species